AGAGUUUGAUCCUGGCUCAGAACGAACGCUGGCGGCGUGGAUUAGGCAUGCAAGUCGUACGAUCCCGCAAGGGAUAGUGGCAAACCGGUGAGUAAUGCGUGGGUAAUCUGCCGUUCAGACUGGGAUAACAUCGCGAAAGCGGUGCUAAUACCAGAUAAGACCAUACUGCUGCAUGGCAGAGAGGUAAAAGGCGGGGAUCUCGUAAGGGACCUGCCACUGAAUGAUGAGCCCACGUCCUAUCAGCUUGUUGGUAGGGUAAUGGCCUACCAAGGCUUUUGACGGGUAGCUGGCCUGAGAGGGUGGUCAGCCACAUUGGGACUGAGACACUGCCCAGACUCCUACGGGAGGCUGCAGUCGAGAAUCUUUUGCAAUGCCCGAAAGGGUGACAAUGCGACGCCGCGUGAGGGAUGAAGGUCUUCGGAUUGUAAACCUCUGUCACUAGGGAUGAGUACCGAUGAUUUAAUAAAUCAAAGGGAUGACAGUACCCGGAGAGGAAGCCACGGCUAACUCCGUGCCAGCAGCCGCGGUAAUACGGAGGUGGCAAGCGUUGUUCGGAUUGACUGGGUGUAAAGGGUAUGUAGGCGUUCCGAUAAGUCAAUUGUGAAAUACCUUGGCUCAACCAAGGAACAGCAGUUGAAACUCUCGGAAUUGAGUGAAGGAGAGGAGAAUGGAAUUCCCGGUGUAAGGGUGAAAUCUGUAGAGAUCGGGAAGAACACCUGUGGCGAAAGCGAUUCUCUGGCCUUUUACUGACGCUGAAAUACGAAAGCUAGGGGAGCAAACAGGAUUAAAUACCCUGGUAGUCCUAGCCGUAAACGAUGGGCACUAGGUGUAGGCCCUUACUGGGUCUGUGCCGCAGUUAACACAUUAAGUGCCCCACCUGGGGACUACGGCCGCAAGGUUGAAACUCAAAGGAAUUGACGGGGACCCGCACAAGCGGUGGAGCAUGUGGUUUAAUACGACGCUACGCGUGGAACCUUACCAGGACUUGACAUGCACUUGAAAUCCUUUCGAAAGAUUGGACCUCCCUUAAAAGACAGGUGCACAGGUGUUGCAUGGCUGUCGUCAGCUCGUGUCGUGAGAUGUUGGGUUAAGUCCCGCAACGAGCGCAACCAUUGCCCUAUGUUGCUAGCCCGCAAGGGUGCACUCUUAGGGGACUGCCAGUGAUAAACUGGAGGAGGGUGGAGAUGACGUCAAGUCAGUACGGCCCUUACGUCCUGGGCUACACACGUGCUACAAUCCCUACUACAAAGGGCUGCGAAACCGUAAGGCGGAGCCAAUCCCAAAAAAGUAGGGUCAGUUCAGAUUGAGGGCUGCAAUACGCCCUCAUGAAGCCGGAAUCGCUAGUAAUCGCAGAUCAGCCACGCUGCGAUGAAUACGUUCCCGGGUCUUGUACACACCGCCCGUCAAGCCACCUGAGUUGAAUGCACCCGAAGUUGCUGACCCAACCCGCAAGGGAGGGAGGUUUCGAAGGUGUGUUUGACAAGGAGGGCUAAGUCGUAACAAGGUA
rnacentral:rRNA from 1 species